UACGUAGGUGGCUAGCGUUGUCCGAAUUUACUGGGCGUAAAGAGCGCGCAGGCGGUCGUUCAAGUCGAGUGUGAAAGCCCCCGGCUCAACUGGGGAGGGUCACUCGAUACUGAUCGACUUGAAGGCGGGAGAGGGAAGCGGAAUUCCCGGUGUAGUGGUGAAAUGCGUAGAUAUCGUCCAGAACACCGAUAGCGAAGGCAGCUUACUAAGGAGUAACUGACGCUGAGGCACGAAAGUGUGGGGAUCAAACAGG
rnacentral:rRNA from 1 species